AUUGAACGCUGGCGGCAGGCCUAACACAUGCAAGUCGAGCGGAUGAAGGGAGCUUGCUCCUGGAUUCAGCGGCGGACGGGUGAGUAAUGCCUAGGAAUCUGCCUGGUGGUGGGGGAUAACGUCCGGAAACGGGCGCUAAUACCGCAUACGUCCUGAGGGAGAAAGUGGGGGAUCUUCGGACCUCACGCUAUCAGAUGAGCCUAGGUCGGAUUAGCUAGUUGGUGGGGUAAAGGCCUACCAAGGCGACGAUCCGUAACUGGUCUGAGAGGAUGAUCAGUCACACUGGAACUGAGACACGGUCCAGACUCCUACGGGAGGCAGCAGUGGGGAAUAUUGGACAAUGGGCGAAAGCCUGAUCCAGCCAUGCCGCGUGUGUGAAGAAGGUCUUCGGAUUGUAAAGCACUUUAAGUCGGGAGGAAGGGCAGUAAGUUAAUACCUUGCUGUUUUGACGUUACCAACAGAAUAAGCACCGGCUAACUUCGUG
rnacentral:rRNA from 1 species